ensembl:lncRNA LINC02817 long intergenic non-protein coding RNA 2817
AGACAAGAGGAAAAGUAACUGGUGAGUUUUGGAUUUAGAAAAGUUUUGGAUUCAUCUGUUUAUGAGGAGGAAAAGAGGCCAAGAAAAGGCAGCAAUUUGUCCAUGUGCUUAAUUAGUGAGUGGCAGUGGCAGUAACCUGGUCUGCUGAGCUCCCUGGACUCCCUGAUCCCAGCUCAAAAUAGUUUCCAGUUUUCAUCUGCCAGUUGCUUCGGAGGCUUUUCUAAGGAAGACAGUUCAUAAAAUGACCCAGAAUUCAUCCUCCUUAGGUGAUAGGAUCAUUACUCCUUAUACACCCCCUAGGUCUCAGCCUAUGAACAAACACUUGUUUGUUUCUCUGUCUACCCUGUUCCAAACCACCGAACUGGAUUUUGCCAACAAGAAGAGCUGUUUCCUGUGCCUGCCCCUGAGAGCUGAUGGCUUCCCAGAGAUGCCUCACAGUCCUGCGCAGACAGAGAGAAUGCAGAAGCUGGCAAAGGAUCCUCCACACGCAAGAUCAGAGGACGUCCCAGAUCAUCUUUUCUUUGUGGAUACUGCAGGUCUACGUGAAAUAGUGUGUUUUUGCGGGGUGCUGUCCCUUAGGACAAGUGAAGGGCUGAUGAGAAAGGAAACUGCGUGAGCCAGGUGUACAGUAAGGAGCAGACAACAUGGCACUGGCCAAGUGGAAAGGCUGUUUGCAUAAUAAGAUUACGAUGGGGUGGCCUGCCUUCCCUGUGUGCUACGUAAACAUCACACCUGAUCCAACCAAUCUGCAGGCCCUACAUAAAUCAGACACCGCCUCCUCCAGCCUGCCUAUAAAAUCUGGUACACUCCACGUGGGCCAGAAGUCCCAUUUGGAUGCCCCUCUCUUUCGCAAGAGAGAGAGCUGUUCUCCUUUCUCUUUCUUUUGCCUAUUACAUUCCGCUCCUAAAGUCACUUCUCAUGUAUGUCCACGUCCUUAAUCUUCUUGAUGCAAGACAAUGAACCCGGGUAUUUACCCCAGACAACAACACCACUUCACUAGGAGUUAAAAGAACUUGAAAUGCAAAUUCAUGGUCAUCUGGUUCCAAAGCCCAUAUUAACAAAAUUUUUUUAAUUGUGAUAAAAUACACAUAACAUAAAGUUGACCGUGUUAACUGUUUUUAAAUGUACAGUCCAGUAGUGUUAAGUACAUUCACAUUGUUGGGCAAUCCUUCUUCAGAACUUUUUAAGUUUCCCAAACUGAAGCUCUGCGUCUAUUAAGAACAACUCUUUCUUCCAAUCCCCAGCUGUUGGCAACUAUCAUUCUACUUUCUGUCUUUAUGCAUUUAAUAAUUCUACGUACCUCAUAUAAAUGAAAUCAAAUGGUAUUUGUAACUGGCUUAUUUCACUUAGCAUAAUAUCCUCAAGAUUCAGUCAUAUUGUUAUAUGUGUCAUAAAUUGCAUUUGUAAUAUCACAAACUACACCUUGAUAUAUUGUCUACUGAUUAGCAUGGAUUUAUAAUUAUUUUUAUGCUUUGCCUUCUACAUUCUAUAAAAGAAUAAAAAGUUGAGUUAAAAACCAAAAUUAUAAUAAUGAAA